rnacentral:tRNA from 1 species
GCCUGGCAGGCUCAGCCGGCAAAGCCUGUGACUCUUGAUCUCAGGGCUGUGAGUUCAAGCCCCAUGUUGGGCA